AGCUGGAUGAUUUCCCCAGAUCCUGAAGUAAAACUGUUACAAUUCCCGGCCAUCUUCCUCCACCCUCCAGGGUUCCCACCGCCAGGAUUUUUUGGAGCAGACGCAGCUUCAUUACGUCACUGAGUCCCAGCCUUCACCAAGCAGCUGAAAACACAUGGUUUCGGUAACAGGACUUCAAUAAAUGGAGACAGGGCAUAUAAAAGAUGGCACUUGAAGACUGCUUUUUCACUCAUUUGUCAGUAGCAUGGCUCAGCUCUGCAGUGGAAAAACAACCCAGGCUCCCCUUAACAGCACCGUGAGGACUUGGUACGGCCCAGGCGCGGCUCGGUUGUACAGUGGAAAAGAGGCAGCGCUCUCAGCGUGCAGGAUGUAGCGCUCUGGAGCGCUCUGCCUAUUGAACGCACUCCAGAGACUCCCCUGCAGGACUGGCGAUCUCCAGCAGAGGGAGCCAAAGCAAAGAAACUUACCUGAGUAUCCAGUCAACCUGAAAGAGAAGAAAACGUGAUUUGGAGAAGAAACAAAGACUGUGGUUUAUAAAAAUUACAAAGACAAAGUAUACUUUCCUGACGAUUCCAAGGGGAAAUCCAGAGAAGAUUUCCCAAACGAACCUUUGUGUUCUCCGUCCUUGUUUAGCGUUUUGUUUUAGUUUAUUAGUUUACAGAAUACACCGGGAAAUAAAGUCAAAGUUUAUUUAAUACCAUGAUAAGGGUUAGGAUUUUAUUUUCCUUUUUAUUAGUUUCAGUAUUGCUUCAUUUAUUUGUUCUUUUGAA